rnacentral:tRNA from 1 species
GCCUUCGUGGUGUAAUGGUCAGCACGCUGAGUCGGUAUUUCAGAGGUCCGUGGUUCGAUCCCCGGCGAAGGCA